UGGGGAAUAUUGGACAAUGGGCGCAAGCCUGAUCCAGCCAUGCCGCGUGAGUGAUGAAGGCCCUAGGGUUGUAAAGCUCUUUCACCGGUGAAGAUAAUGACGGUAACCGGAGAAGAAGCCCCGGCUAACUUCGUGCCAGCAGCCGCGGUAAUACGAAGGGGGCUAGCGUUGUUCGGAUUUACUGGGCGUAAAGCGCACGUAGGCGGACUUUUAAGUCAGGGGUGAAAUCCCAGGGCUCAACCCCGGAACUGCCUUUGAUACUGGAAGUCUUGAGUAUGGUAGAGGUGAGUGGAAUUCCGAGUGUAGAGGUGAAAUUCGUAGAUAUUCGGAGGAACACCAGUGGCGAAGGCGGCUCACUGGACCAUUACUGACGCUGAGGUGCGAAAGCGUGGGGAGCAAACAGG
rnacentral:rRNA from 1 species